rnacentral:rRNA from 1 species
UACGUAGGGGGCAAGCGUUGUCCGGAAUUAUUGGGCGUAAAGCGCGCGCAGGCGGUAGAUUAAGUUGUGGGUAAAAGGCAUUGGCUCAACCAAUGUAAGCCUGCAAAACUGGUUUACUUGGGUGCAGGAGAGGGGAGUGGAAUUCCCGGUGUAGCGGUGGAAUGCGUAGAGAUCGGGAGGAACACCAGUGGCGAAGGCGACUCUCUGGCCUGUAACUGACGCUGAGGCGCGAAAGCGUGGGUAGCGAACAGG